rnacentral:rRNA from 1 species
GAUGAACGCUGGCGGCGUGCCUAAUACAUGCAAGUCGAACGCAUUGUGGUUGAAAUGAUAUGAAGAACUUGUUCAGAUUUGAUUUUCAACAUUGCAAUGAGUGGCGAACGGGUGAGUAACGCGUGGGAAACCUACCUCUUAGCAGGGGAUAACAUUUGGAAACAAAUGCUAAUACCGUAUAAUAAUUAAAACCGCAUGGUUUUAGUUUAAAAGAUGGUCUUGCUAUCACUAAGAGAUGGUCCCGCGGUGUAUUAGUUAGUUGGUGAGGUAAUGGCUCACCAAGACAAUGAUACAUAGCCGAGUUGAGAGACUGACCGGCCACAAUGGGACUGAGACACGGCCCAUACUCCUACGGGAGGCAGCAGUAGGGAAUCUUCCACAAUGGACGAAAGUCUGAUGGAGCAACGCCGCGUGUGUGAUGAAGGGUUUCGGCUCGUAAAACACUGUUGUAAGAGAAGAAUGACAUUGAGAGUAACUGUUCAAUGUGUGACGGUA